rnacentral:lncRNA from 1 species
CGUCUUAAAUUGGUCGUAAUAAACAUUUCUUCCAAAAGGCACCGUCGCCUGUUAGCACGCCGCCAUUUGUCGUGUUGUCGGUGUGUGGGUGAGGCCGGAAAUUAGCGCCGAAUUAUUGGUAAUUUGGUUCUUAUAGGUAAAAUUAGCAUUUUUUAAAUAAUUUAGAUCAUGUUUGUAAAUUUGAAUAGCCUCAACGUUCAUGUGCGUCGGUAUAAAUGUUGAAAUAUUGCGAUAGAAUUUAUGAUGAUUUUGUAGGCUAUCAUGGCGCAUGCUUUCCGCGGUAUAAUAUUUUAAUUAUUUACGAAAUGUAUUGCUAUUUACAGGGUUUUAGUUUAUCUUAAAGUAAAUAAUAGGCCUAUUUUGUUGUUUGGGGCAAUUGUUGAUUAGAGAGGCACAUUUAACUGCCCACAGUAGCUAGAAAUGUUAUGGCCUGGCAUGUUGUGCAAAAGUUUGCAGUGUGGCCAUAUCAUUUAUUCAGUCAAUUGUCUGUGCAAGCAGGGACCAAUAGGAUAUAUCUUUUAGUUUUUAAUGAAAAGUUAAAUUUGGGCUUAUGCUAGGUUAUUCAUACUUGCAUUCUAAGUGGCUUUGUCAUGGAUUCAUAGAACAAUAAUAGAAGUGGUGACUGCAAAUGUGUCUGUUUUUCCACAGCUCAUCAAAGCGCCACCUCCUCGCUGUAGCAGUGGGCGUCGCCGUCACCACAGUAUUGUUCAGGAAGCUCGUGAUAAUGGUACCUAUGGUCCUACGUUGAGGAACGCUCAAUCAAAAAAUGAUAUGAUGAACUUCUUUGGAAUUAAGCGGACUAAGUACAGCUACAUUUGUAUUAUGUGCAUCGCUCAUGCAAGACAGCAGGCCAGGAUGCAGGGACACACAGCUGCAGGGGAUGAGCUGGAGAACCUGCAGCGCAUUCUCCAAGAGACGACGGAAGCCAACGGAGGCCCGCAAAACUUUCCAUCCCAUAAUCGUGAAUGGAGAGCUGGGCGGGGAAGACGCGGUAUUCGUCGAGGCCCAGGAGGUGGUAUCGGCGCCACCAGACCAAGCAUUCCUGCUGUGGCAGGCCGCCUUUUGGAUUUUUAACAUCAAAACUCCUAAAAACAUGGUCAAUCUAAAUUGGUUUCUGAGAACCAAAGUGUUUGGUGGGGUGAAGGCCGAUGUGCCGCCAUCAGCGGCGGCCAUUGCGAACGUGAAUCAAGUGGAGUGAGAUCCCCGUAGAGCAUGCCGCUGCGGGGUGUCGGAAGCGUUUGCCAAUUCUUUGAGCCUUCCACCGGCAGGACUAUAAAUACACAUUUCUUGAAAUAUA